rnacentral:misc_RNA from 1 species
AUGCCUCCACCAAUCGGUCGAAAUAUCAGUGUAAAGCAUGGACGUUCGAAAUCAACUUCUGCAGCAACAGGAAAACUGCCACCAGUUGUUUCGCAAGAAACGCGAGAUCGAACGGAAGCUGUCAAAAAGACAUUUGAUCGACCAAAAACUGCGCAUCGGAAUUCUAGGCCUCCGACAUCGUCUCAUGCUCUCCCCUCGUUUGGUAACGGACGUAUUAUAACUGCAUCAAAGCACAUGAAAUUAGCAAUGAAGCGUUCUAAUUCGGAAACCAGACCACUGCCACGAAUAGAGUACGGGCGUUCUCCAAGCAGAGAAAAAAUGACAGAUUUGAGAGAUGAAUUGUUUCACGCUAAAAAGAAAGUUGCAUCUUACGAAACUGAUUUGAAAAAAUUGAGCACAGAAAUGCAACGUCUACGCAGAGACGCAGAAAAACGAGAGACAUUCCUGGAGCGUAUAGUGACGGCGCAGUAUCACCCUACGGAGCUGAAUGAUACCAAUUUGGCCAGGACGUUGACAUCAAUCAAACGGAAGGAAAUGGCAAAAGAAAACUUGAUUGACAUUCAAGCCAAGGAAUUAGAAAGACUCCGCAGUCUUUUAAAAGACAGCCAUAUUCCUCUAGGGUCAAAGCAUCCAACCGAAACAAUGACCGUAUCAGUUGCCAAAGAUUCAGAACUGGAUGUGGACAACGAAGAUUAUUCGGAUUACCCGGAGGAACCGGAUCUAGUGGAAACUGCUGGGCACUCAGAACGAGAUGAAGAAUAUGAUGAAGUUUUCGAAGAAGUACACAAUCGAAAGCUGGACAAAAGCAGAGUGAAAACAGCAUCUAAGGAAAGAAAUGAGUUGGCGAAAAAGUACGCAGAGCAAAACGCAAAGUUGAAACUGAAACUUAAAGAGGUCAAGAAUAACUAUGCUUCAAUGCUCGAGAAAAAUAAAAAGAAAGGUGAAGAAUUUAUCAAGCAAAGUGAAAACUCGAAAGCAGUUGUCGAAAAAACCGUCCAAAUCAGCACUGUUCUCGAUUCACUGCAGAAAGAACGUGAAGAUUUGUCAGAGAUCAGAAAGAAAAACGAGCAGAAAAUUGAAGGACUAUCGCAAGAGUUGAUUGAGGCUUACGGAGAAAUUGAUGCGUUGAAAAUGAACAAUGAGAAACUGCAAGAACAUUUGGGUGAUUUGGAGCAACGUGUUGGACAUUUAAAAAUUCAGCCGGACUAUGAGAGCCUUCCACCAUUAAAGUGAACAUUUUGAUAUUGUUUGUUUUUGUUCAAAGUAUACCUCGACUCGACAUGACCGAUAUUGACAAUGACGAGAACGGCACGUUGCACGAGUUUUCUGAAAGAAGUGUUUUAUCGAAUCUUUCUGAAUUCGAUCAUGUACACCUUGCUGGUGCAUUAGCAGAAAUUGCUGGUGCUCAUUGUGAGCGAUUGCGUAUGAUCACUCAAUCAUAA